AAUUGACGGGGACCCGCACAAGCGGUGGAUGAUGUGGAUUAAUUCGAUGCAACGCGAAAAACCUUACCUACCCUUGACAUGUCUGGAAUCUUGGUGAGAGCCGAGGGUGCCUUCGGGAGCCAGAACACAGGUGCUGCAUGGCUGUCGUCAGCUCGUGUCGUGAGAUGUUGGGUUAAGUCCCGCAACGAGCGCAACCCUUGUCACUAGUUGCCAUCAUUUGGUUGGGCACUCUAGUGAGACUGCCGGUGACAAACCGGAGGAAGGUGGGGAUGACGUCAAGUCCUCAUGGCCCUUAUGGGUAGGGCUUCACACGUCAUACAAUGGUCGGUACAGAGGGUUGCCAAGCCGCGAGGUGGAGCCAAUCCCUUAAAGCCGAUCGUAGUCCGGAUCGUAGUCUGCAACUCGACUACGUGAAGUCGGAAUCGCUAGUAAUCGCGGAUCAGCAUGUCGCGGUGAAUACGUUCCCGGGUCUU
rnacentral:rRNA from 1 species